rnacentral:rRNA from 1 species
GGUGUAGGGGUAAAAUCCGUAGAUAUCAAGAAGAAUACCUAUUGCGAAGGCGAUCUGCUGGAACUUAACUGACGCUAAUGCGUGAAAGCGUGGGGAACAAACAGGAUUAGAUACCCUGGUAGUCCACGCCCUAAACGAUGUAUACCGGUUGUUGCUGUGCUAGUCACGGCAGUAAUCCACCUAACGGAUUAAGUAUACCGCCUGGGGAGUACGGUCGCAAGAUUAAAACUCAAAGGAAUAGACGGGGACCCGCACAAGCGGUGGAGCAUGUGGUUUAAUUCGAAGAUACGCGAAGAACCUUACCCGGACUUGAUAUCUAACAAAUCAUCCAGAGAUGGAAGAGUGUCUGCUUGCAGAAAUGUUAAGACAGGUGCUGCACGGCUGUCGUCAGCUCGUGUCGUGAGAUGUUGGGUUAAGUCCCGCAACGAGCGCAACCCACGUCAUUAGUUGCUAACGGUUCGGCCGAGCACUCUAAUGAGACUGCCUUCGUAAGGAGGAGGAAGGUGUGGACGACGUCAAGUCAUCAUGGCCCUUAUGUCCGGGGCGACACACGUGCUACAAUGGCAUAUACAAUAAGACGCAAUAUCGUAAGAUGGAGCAAAUCUAAAAAAUAUGUCCCAGUUCGGAUUGGAGUCUGCAACUCGACUCCAUGAAGCCGGAAUCGCUAGUAAUCGUAGAUCAGCCAUGCUACGGUGAAUACGUUCCCGGGUCUUGUACUCACCGCCCGUCACACCAUGGGAGUUGAUUUCACUCGAAGCGGGAAUGCGAAAUUCGCUACCCUCCACAGUGGAAUCAGCGACUGGGGUGAAGUCGUAACAAGGUAACCGUAGGAGAACC